UUGAAUGUGAAUUGAUUUAUGUUUGGAUACCUUAAAGCAAAAGUGAUUCUUAUAAAUUCAUGUUGUUUGGAUAA
rfam:Medicago truncatula strain A17 chromosome 8, whole genome shotgun sequence.